rnacentral:sRNA from 1 species
GUGAUUGAUAUGGUGUUAGGUGCUCAG